rnacentral:lncRNA from 1 species
ACCCUCAAAAUGCUAAUCCACGUGUUUGCUACACAUGCAGUAUCUAGAUUAAAUUGAUGUAAUGACAAUUAAGUAUUGGUUUGUUAUUAAUGAGCUUUGUAUUAAUCCACAUGCAUAGACUUGAGAAAAACAAAAGAAGGAAGGAAGAAAGAAAGAAAAAGUCAGAGGUGAGAAAAAGUGUUAAUAGAGUAUCUAGACAUACCAAAGGCUGUUUGCAGUAGCCCAC